UCGCGUCUUACGACGGCAGUUUCUCCAGAGUUCCCACCAUGACGUGCUGGCAACUGAAGAUAGGGGUUGCGCUCGUUGCGGGACUUAACCCAACACCUCACGGCACGAGCUGACGACGGCCAUGCAGCACCUUACUACCGACCCUUGCGGGAAACUCCCUUUCAGGAGCGGUCCAGUAGCAUUCUAGCCCAGGUAAGGUUCCUCGCGUAUCAUCGAAUUAAACCACAUACUCCACCGCUUGUGCGGACCCCCGUCAAUUCCUUUGAGUUUCAUCCUUGCGGACGUACUUCCCAGGUGGAUUACUUAAUGCUUUCGCUCAGACACUGAUCAGUCAUAUCGCCAAUGUCGAGUAAUCAUCGUUUAGGGCGUGGACUAC
rnacentral:misc_RNA from 1 species